rnacentral:misc_RNA from 1 species
AGUCUUAGUGCGAACACGACCCAUCUGGAGAUUAAGUUGUUGCAGCAAAGAGAGAGAAAAGAAUACAAAUUAUAAUUAUUCUCUAGCUUAUCUAGUAAAUCAUAGAAGUAAAAUAAGAAAAACCAUGGCAUUUAUGCUCUUGAAGAAGCAAAACGCAGGCUAAGGCAAGAGAGCUACGGAGGCGGCCGCUUUAGAGAUGAGAGGAGAAAGCAAAACGAAGAGCUAAAGAUAUAAAAAGCGG